GACUACUGGGGUAUCUAAUCCUGUUCGCUCCCCACGCUUUCGCACCUGAGCGUCAGCACGUGCCCAGUCCGCUGGUUUCCCCCUUGGUGUUCCUGCCGAUCUCUACGCAUUUCACCACUACACCGGCAAUUCCACGGACCUCUGCACGGCUCGAGCCGCGCCGUAUGAGGUGGCCUCCGCCAGUUAAGCCAGCGGUUUUCACACCCCACGCGCGUGGCCGCCUGCGUGCCCUUUACGCCCAGUCAAUCCGGACAACGCUUGGCUCCUCUGUCUUACCGCGGCUGCUGGCACAGAGUUAGCCGAGCCUUAUUCCGGGGGUACCGUCGAUAUCUUCCCCCCGAAAAGGAGUUUACAACCCGAAGGCCGUCGUCCUCCACGCGGCGUUGCUCGGUCAGGCUUGCGCCCAUUGCCGAAAAUUCCUUACUGCAGCCCCCCGUAGG
rnacentral:rRNA from 1 species